AGAUGAUGUCAUACAGUGUCCUUCCCUGCACAUUUAGCAUAUGUGAGUACAUGACUUUCUGAGCAGGGUCCUCCAGCAGCGCCAUGUCGUUGGUUAUAAUUCCUUGAGAAACGGGCUCGUGUCCUGUCCUUGGAUUUUCAGUAAGGUCCUAUGAGGAAGGUGAUAGCACAGAAACUGUCCCGGUUCAUCUCCUCCCUUAUUACUCCCCUGGCUGCUGUACUUCUUGACAUGAAGCCCUAAUGGAGCUGAAGCACCAGAGACGUUCAACUUUACGCACAGAUACCGAGCGCAGUAUUGUCUGGAAUAAACACCGAGAUAACCGGUGGACAUGAGCGCUCCCCUGCCCAAACACCAAACACCCAUUCUGCAGGUUGACCUAGUGAAAUUUGUGUGCAGGUCAAGUGGUUCAAUCUCCUUUUCAUCACAGUGGUGGACGGCUACAUAACACUGCACAGAGCAGUAGACGGCUCCAUUUUGAAGUCCCACAAUGCAUUGCGCGAUAAUAUUGGAGCCUGGAGCACACGUGUGAUGCUAUUUUGCUCCCCCUAUGUUUGGCUCCUGUUCUGUGGACAAUGAGCUUGAGCAGAGGUGCAGAAAGCCUAGACAAGAAGACAAUUUGUGUCUGUUUUUAUUGUCUUCUACAGAUCAGCAGAGUAGAGGAGAAAUGGUGGAAGAAAUGGUGGUAACCCAACACGAGAAUCUGUUCUGCUGUUGACUGUACUGACUUGAGGAAUCUUUGAGCUUUGCUUUGCUGUUUUAUCUGUAUCAAUCACCUCUGCUCAUGUCUUGGCUUCAAAAUUUGUCACUAGCACAAUACGUCACUCCCCUUUGCUGCAGUGCUUUGGGUUAAUGUCUUUACAAUUUUAGAACACGGAGACCCACCAAUUCAACAGCUGUAUUUUUUCAGAACAAUCUUGUAGUUUUUCAGAUACCUGUCACGUAGUGGCUGUGGCUCAGUGGUAGUUGAUCAUCUUUAUCUGAAGGCCGGGGUUUGAUCCCAGGUCCCUAUGUUUACAUAAUGAGAUGUCCUUGUGCGAGACACUUAACACCAAACUGCAUCCAGUGACUGUGGUUUGUGAAUGGGAUGAGUUAAUACUGAUGGAAAGAAAGCAAAGUGUCAGCAGUGUGGGAGUAUUACACUGUCUAUGAGAAAGAUCAGUGGCAUGUAGUUUGUAAGACAAGUCUCUCAUUUUAAGCAGAGACUUCUCCUAACAGUUGCUAUACUUCAAAACUCAAGGCUAAUUUGAAAAACAGACAUUAAGAAUCACAAUGCAAGAAACAUCAGAACCAGAAUAUCAGGUAAUCGGUGCGUCUAGAGUCAGAUGUUUGUUUCACAAGUCUCUACUUUGUUUCACACUCUCUAUGCUUGUAUUUGGCAUUUCAAAGUGGAAAAUUUUGUCUUUAUUUUGUUUUAUUUACGAGUUAUUACCAUACAACCUUAAAUAUUGUCUUGACUUUAACUAUUGUUGUAUUGUUGAAAUAUGCUCUUUUUCAUUGUCAAGGCUUUGCUCAGAUCUCUUCAUUGUUACAAUGUAUGAAACUCCUUUGCUUGAGCCACAGACUUCACAUUGCAUCACAUGUUAAAAACAAACCUUUGGUAUAAAUGUACAAAAGCAGGGAGGCAGAUGGAUGUAAUAAAAGCAAGAAAUCAGAGGUUUCAAAUAAGUUUAUUUCUUCGUGAAUAAAAUACUUGAACAGUCUUUAAA